rnacentral:rRNA from 1 species
CCCUUAGAUGUUCUGGGCAGCACGCGCGCUACAACGGUCUUCGCAAACGGAUGCAUUCUCGAAGGAGAAUGCCAAUCUUGGAAUCUAUGCCUUGGUCGGGACAGUUGCUUGCAAUUUUUCGACUCGAACCAGGAAUUCCUUGUAAUCGUGAUUCAUCACAUCACGAUGAAUACGUCCCUGCCCUUUGUACACACCGCCCGUCGCUCCUACCGAUCGAAGAGUUAGGUGAAUUGUUUUGAUCGAUAAGAUUUGACUAUGGUCAACUCUCGUUGUGAAAUUCUCUGAAUCUGACUGUUUAGAGGAAGGAAAAGUCGUAACA